AUGACUAGAACCGAGAAUACCGCUGAGAAGGCACUUAUCUCCCACCCCGCCCAUCCGCAGCACCAGCUUCAGCUGGUGGUGGCCACCGAGAAAUUCCAGUGCAACGGCUGCAAGCAGCGGGGCGCGGGACAAAGUUAUCGGUGCGAGCCAUGCGACUACGACCUCCACACAGUCUGUGUGCCUCCCGAAACGCCCCUCAAGCACCCCCGGUUCAAUGGCUGCGAACUCUGCUUCCGCCUCGAGCCACCCGGCCCGGGGCGAUCGUGCGACGCCUGCGGCGAUGUUGUGCUUGGCUUUGUGUACUUCAACCGCGAACGCGACAUCGACCUCCACCCCGCCUGCGCUUUCCACCCACAGCUCGUCGAAAUAGACGGCACCCUGUUCGAGCUCCACACGGAAAAGGAUGCGGCCCUUGUUUGCCGGCGAUGCAAGGUGAAAGACGCCCGCCGCAACAGUUACUGGUCCUAUCGUUCCCGUGACCGCCGUGAAGACGGCGAGCUUGCGUACCUGCACGUAGGGUGCAUGAUAGACGGCGAAGGUUCGGCCAGCGAAGCUCAGAGCGUACCAACAGAACUGCUGAACGCUCCUGGCCAGAUGACCUGGUACAAGAGUAUUUGGAAGCUCACCAAGAUCGUUGCAAAAUUGGCCUACUAUCUCCUCAGUUUCGACGGGACAGGUAUUACAUCGAUGGCUGGAGCGGUCGCUGACUAUUUCAGCAAGUAA
rnacentral:rRNA from 1 species